UGGGGAAUAUUGCACAAUGGGCGCAAGCCUGAUGCAGCCAUGCCGCGUGUAUGAAGAAGGCCUUCGGGUUGUAAAGCACUAUCAGCGGGGAGGAAGGCGUUAAGGUUAAUAACCUUGGCGAUUGACGUUACCCGCAGAAGAAGCACCGGCUAACUCCGUGCCAGCAGCCGCGGUAAUACGGAGGGUGCAAGCGUUAAUCGGAAUUACUGGGCGUAAAGCGCACGCAGGCGGUCUGUCAAGUCGGAUGUGAAAUCCCCGGGCUCAACCUGGGAACUGCAUUCGAAACUGGCAGGCUAGAGUCUUGUAGAGGGGGGUAGAAUUCCAGGUGUAGCGGUGAAAUGCGUAGAGAUCUGGAGGAAUACCGGUGGCGAAGGCGGCCCCCUGGACAAAGACUGACGCUCAGGUGCGAAAGCGUGGGGAGCAAACAGG
rnacentral:rRNA from 1 species